AUUGAACGCUGGCGGCAGGCUUAACACAUGCAAGUCGAGCGGUAACAGGGAGAAGCUUGCUUCUCUGCUGACGAGCGGCGGACGGGUGAGUAAUGCCUAGGAAUCUGCCUAGUAGUGGGGGAUAACUUGCCGAAAGGUAAGCUAAUACCGCAUACGUCCUACGGGAGAAAGGAGGGGACCUUCGGGCCUUUCGCUAUUAGAUGAGCCUAGGUCGGAUUAGUUAGUUGGUGAGGUAAUGGCUCACCAAGACCGCGAUCCGUAACUGGUCUGAGAGGAUGAUCAGUCACACUGGAACUGAGACACGGUCCAGACUCCUACGGGAGGCAGCAGUGGGGAAUAUUGGACAAUGGGGGGGACCCUGAUCCAGCCAUGCCGCGUGUGUGAAGAAGGUCUUAGGAUUGUAAAGCACUUUAAGUUGGGAGGAAGAGCAGUUAACUAAUAUUUGACUGUUUUGACGUUACCGACAGAAUAAGCACCGGCUAACUUCGUGCCAGCCGCCGCGGUAA
rnacentral:rRNA from 1 species